rnacentral:rRNA from 1 species
CGAGCUUGCCUAGAUGAUUUUAGUGCUUGCACUAAAUGACACUAUGAUACAAGCGAGCGGCGGACGGGUGAGUAACACGUGGGUAACCUGCCCAAGAGACUGGGAUAACACCUGGAAACAGAUGCUAAUACCGGAUAACAACACUAGACGCAUGUCUAGAGUUUGAAAGAUGGUUCUGCUAUCACUCUUGGAUGGACCUGCGGUGCAUUAGCUAGUUGGUAAGGUAACGGCUUACCAAGGCAAUGAUGCAUAGCCGAGUUGAGAGACUGAUCGGCCACAUUGGGACUGAGACACGGCCCAAACUCCUACGGGAGGCAGCAGUAGGGAAUCUUCCACAAUGGACGAAAGUCUGAUGGAGCAACGCCGCGUGAGUGAAGAAGGGUUUCGGCUCGUAAAGCUCUGUUGGUAGUGAAGAAAGAUAGAGGUAGUAACUGGCCUUUAUUUGACGGUAAUUACUUAGAAAGUCACGGCUAACUACGUGCCAGCAGCCGCGGUAAUACGUAGGUGGCAAGCGUUGUCCGGAUUUAUUGGGCGUAAAGCGAGUGCAGGCGGUUCAAUAAGUCUGAUGUGAAAGCCUUCGGCUCAACCGGAGAAUUGCAUCAGAAACUGUUGAACUUGAGUGCAGAAGAGGAGAGUGGAACUCCAUGUGUAGCGGUGGAAUGCGUAGAUAUAUGGAAGAACACCAGUGGCGAAGGCGGCUCUCUGGUCUGCAACUGACGCUGAGGCUCGAAAGCAUGGGUAGCGAACAGGAUUA